rnacentral:rRNA from 1 species
AUUGAACGCUGGCGGCAUGCUUUACACAUGCAAGUCGAACGGUAACAGGCCGCAAGGUGCUGACGAGUGGCGAACGGGUGAGUAAUGCAUCGGAACGUGCCCAGUCGUGGGGGAUAACGCAGCGAAAGCUGCGCUAAUACCGCAUACGAUCUCUGGAUGAAAGCGGGGGACCGAAAGGCCUCGCGCGAUUGGAGCGGCCGAUGUCAGAUUAGGUAGUUUGUGGGGUAAAGGCCAACCAAGCCAACGAUCUGUAGCUGGUCUGAGAGGACGACCAUGCACACAGGGACGGAGAAACGGCCCAGAUGCCUACGGGGGGCAGCAGUGGGGAAUUUUGGACAAUGGGCGCAAGCCUGAUCCAGCAAUGCCGCGGGCAGGAAGAAGGCCUUCGGGUUGUAAACUGCUUUUGUACGGAACGAAACGGUCCGGGUUAAUACCCUGGGCUAAUGACGGUACCGUAAGAAUAAGCACCGGCUAACUACGUGCCAGCAGCCGCAGUAAGAC